CGAUAUCGACGAGUUUGAUCAUGGCUACAGAACGAACGCUGGCGGCAUGCCUAAUACAUGCAAGUCGAACGAGAUCUUCGGAUCUAGUGGCGCACGGGUGCGUAACGCGUGGGAAUCUACCCUUGGGUUCGGAAUAACAGUUAGAAAUGACUGCUAAUACCGGAUGAUGACGUAAGUCCAAAGAUUUAUCGCCCAAGGAUGAGCCCGCGUAAGAUUAGCUAGUUGGUGAGGUAAAGGCUCACCAAGGCUACGAUCUUUAGCUGGUCUGAGAGGAUGAUCAGCCACACUGGGACUGAGACACGGCCCAGACUCCUACGGGAGGCAGCAGUAGGGAAUAUUGGACAAUGGGCGAAAGCCUGAUCCAGCAAUGCCGCGUGAGUGAUGAAGGCCUUAGGGUUGUAAAGCUCUUUUACCCGAGAUGAUAAUGACAGUAUCGGGAGAAUAAGCUCCGGCUAACUCCGUG
rnacentral:rRNA from 1 species